GGUGAUGGCCUUGAGCUGCACCCGGGGGCUCAGGGUGGAUGUAAGGAAAAACGUCAUCUCAGAGGAGCAGUAGUGCAUUGGCACAGACUGCCCAUGGAAGUUGUGCACCCCGGGGGUGUUAAUAACUGCACAGAUGCAGCACUGAAGGACAUGGUCAGUGGAGGGGAUGGGGUGGGGUUGGACUUGGGGAUCUUAGAGCUCUUUUCCAAGCUUUACGUACCUAUGAGACGCAGCUGCCCUGGCCAGCCCCGGUGUGAGCUGUGCCUGUGCGAGGCUUGCUGAAAGGCACAGGGGUGUUUCCACCCAGUAGUCAGCCCAGCGGCUCCUUCCCUCCGGGAUCCCCCUAGAGGAGCAGUUUCAGGCUGAAGGGAGCAGAGCUGUGCCUCGGCCGCCACCUAGCAGCCACCCAGCAGCGCUGGGGACACAGCCAGCCAGCAGAGCUGUGCCAAGGCACUGCGCGCUCCGACUCGUGGUUUUGGGCCAUUUAGGAAGCAUUUGGUUUGGACUAGGUAGCCAGAAAUGGGAGUGCAACGACAGCAUCCAAAAGCCACAGGGCAGCUUAGCAUGCAGCCAAUACAGCAGUGAGCCCAACUGCUGGGGACGGGGCAAUGGAGAAGGCAAUGCGUGCCUCCACUCUCCCUUUUCUGCCUCAAUUUCUGUUUUCUCCACGUCUCCGUAGUAAAGGAAUGCAUACUACAAAGAGUUGCUUCAGCCAGGCAAAAUUUGGCAACCAAGUGGUUAAUUUUCCCCAUAGCUCUGCAAAGCCAAAGGAGGUAUUAUCCAACAUUACUGCAUGUAUCACGUGGGUGUGCUUCCAAAUUGCUUCUAAGUCAGUAGCCAUCCUUUGAGACUGAUCGAUAUCUGUACAUCAUCUUUGAUUGAUUAUCAUCCAUACCCUCCCUUCCUUUGCUGUUAGAAGAUCAAUGCCAUCCUGUUCUGUAGGACUGCUUUACCAAGGGAGGAUACCUCAAUUUGUAGAGCUCGUAGAGCGUCCACUGUGGAAUUCUCAAUACCUUCCAAAGCAGCCGAUGCACUGACCAUGGCUUUUUCUAAUUCACUUACUCCAAGGUGAGGGAUAAACCACCUAACAAAACUAUGGAACCCAGAGGGUCUGUCUAUAAGAGGGUUAUUUAUACAUUUCACCCUCUCCCAAGGAGUUCUCAGUAUCCCUGGAGGUGGAACUGCUCCACUGAAAAAGGAAUUAUGGGGCAUGAAGCAUCCUCCUACACAAUGCCCCCUCCAGUUCUUAGGUAGGGUCUUCCUUGCCUGCCC
rnacentral:lncRNA from 1 species